AAAGCUGACGGAGCACGCCGCGUGAGUGAAGAAGGUUUUCGGAUCGUAAAACUCUGUUGUUAGGGAAGAACAAGUGCCGUUCGAAUAGGGCGGCGCCUUGACGGUACCUAACCAGAAAGCCACGGCUAACUACGUGCCAGCAGCCGCGGUAAUACGUAGGUGGCAAGCGUUGUCCGGAAUUAUUGGGCGUAAAGCGCGCGCAGGUGGUUUCUUAAGUCUGAUGUGAAAGCCCACGGCUCAACCGUGGAGGGUCAUUGGAAACUGGGGAACUUGAGUGCAGAAGAGGAAAGUGGAAUUCCAAGUGUAGCGGUGAAAUGCGUAGAUAUUUGGAGGAACACCAGUGGCGAAGGCGACUCUCUGGUCUGUAACUGACGCUGAGGCGCGAAAGCGUGGGGAGCGAACAGGAUUAGAUACCCUGGUAGUCCACGCCGUAAACGAUGAGUGCUAAGUGUUAGAGGGUUUCCGCCCUUUAGUGCUGCAGCAAACGCAUUAAGCACUCCGGCUGGGGAGUACGGUCGCAAGAACUGAAAAUUCAAGGAAUUGACGGUGGCCCGUACAAGCGGUGGAGCAUGUGGGUUAAUUCGAAGCA
rnacentral:rRNA from 1 species